AUAAGGAGAGAGAAGAGAGAGAGGGGUGUGUAUGUGUCUUUAAUGGUGCUCCCUCUCAUCUUAAGCCACAGUCUUGUUCAGUUCAGGCUUGCGUUGUGACUUUAAGUUAAUAAGAGGAGAGAAAAAGGGAGGGAGUGACCGUUUAGGAGAGACCAUCGAGGAAAGAGUGAGCAAGAGAGGAAAAGAGAGAAGGGGCGAUACCGUUGAGGAGAGCAAGGGAAUAAGAGAGCGAGAGGAAAAUAGAGAGAAGAGAGUUGAGAGUUGGCAUGGUCUGUGUCUCGGCUGACAGAGCCUGUUGCUCUCUUUGGGCUGCCUGGGUCCUCAGUCUCAGUCACAGCAGAUGUUGAGGUGACUGGCUGCUGCAGCAGACGUCUCUCUCUUUCUCUCUCUAUUUCUAUUUCUCUCUCGCUCUCUCUCGGCGGAAAGAUUUGGACGGUUGUCUCACCACGUCAAGGAGGGGAGUGAGGAGGGGAGCUGUGAGGCUGCAGUCUGGGUAAUAAAUCCUAUCACAACGCAGCGGAGCACCGAGCAGCACAUAGAGGGCCAGCUAGAGCCUCUCCUCUCCAGGCUGCAGCUCUCUAGAGCACCACAGCACUAGUCACUCCAUUGCCAGGAUAAGCAACUCAAGAACCCAAAAUAAUCUCAGGCAGCAAUGGGCCGACAACAUGGAAAGUGAUAUUGACUUUUAUAAGCAUUUCACUUGGCUUAAAAAGGUUAACCUCUGCUCCCCGGUGAACAAUGAGAGCUAUCAGGAGCGGCUGGUUCGCUUAGAGGGGGACAAAGAGUCUCUGGUGCUCCAGGUGAGCGUGCUCACAGACCAAGUGGAGGCCCAGGGAGAGAAGAUCCGAGACCUGGAGAGCUCUCUGGAGGAGCACUACCACAAGCUCAACUCCACUGAGGAAAUGCUAAAGCAGGAGCUACUGAGCCGGACCUCAUUGGAGACCCAGAAACUGGAUCUGAUGGAUGAGGUUUCCUACCUGAAACUGAAGCUGGUCGACAUGGACGAGGAACAGAACCACAACGACAGCAGCGAGGACCAGCAGAACAAAGCUGAGUCUGUGGUAAAUCUGAUUAGCGAGCUCCAGGAGCAGAUGUGUAGGUUUCAGGAGGAGAUCCAUACCCGUAUCAUGGAGAAACGGGCCAUGGAGGCCCAGGGGGAGAGUGGUGCCCGCAAGGCAUACGACCAAUGCCCCGACGUGGGCUUGGGUGGCUCUGACGUGGAGGAGUUUUGCUGUCGCUGUGGAGGACAGAAUGGCUUCCUGCAAGAACUCCGGUUUCUCAAGAGUAAAGUGGAUGAGCUGGAGGGGGAGAAAUCGCAGUAUGAGAAAAAACUAAAGGCCACAAAGCUGUCUAUCUCUUACUCUCUCCAUGUGUGUUACCAGUCGCUCUUGUCCAAGCUCUCUAGCCUGAAGCUCACUGUAGAGCACACGCAGGUAGAGAAGCAGCACUGGGAGGAGCAAUGGCGGACCGCUCAGGCGGAGAUAGCAGACCUACAGCAGAUGCUGGCUUCCAAAGACUCUGCGAUUGAGGGCCUACAGAGCCAGCUGGUCUCCAGAGGCCCAAUGACCAAUGAGAACCCAGAGAGAGUAGAGGAGGUGUAUAGGAGACAGCUGACAGACAAAUACCAAGAAUUGCAAAGGUUGAAAAUGGGGAUGGAGUCUUUGGUAGCAACUAAUUAUGAGAAAGACCGUCACAUAGAGGAGCUGACUGUUCUCCUGGGCCAGUACAGGAAGAUGAAGGAGGUGAUGGCCCUCACUCAAGGGUCCAGUGAGAAGCUCCUGGUUGGGAGCAGUGAGGAGGAACUGAGUGGGAGUCUGAAGAUGAGGGCUCUCACCCAUAAAGCUCAUUCAGACAUCAUCCGGUCAGCGAUGUCUUCUAGAGGCUCCUCUCCCCUGUUAGUGUCUCCCUCGUCCUUCCAGAAAGAGCUGGACUCCAGCUGCCGCAGUAUCCAGACCUCCCUGGAGACGUCGAUGGUGAUGGUCUCCCAGAGUGAUGCUGGUUGCUUCUACAGCGGAGAAUGGUCCCAACCACGGAUGCUUUCAAGUAGCCUGGAGGAGUUACAAAGUGGAUCGUUACCAAAGCAUGUCGUGGUGGGUCAACCAGUUGAACCGGUUUCAGAGAAUCCGCACAUCGAAAUGAACAAAUAUCAGACCCUACCAGGGAAGCUGUCUCGACCUGACAUGAACGGGGAUCGAGACCAGCAUUCUACGCCAGACCAGCUGUCCCCUGACGAUAGCGAGGACAGUGAGUUUCACCUAAGAAAGUCGGAGAGACUGGAUGAGUCCACACUGUCAGACUUGUCUCCCCUGUCGUCUGGAGUGGACUCAGGACAGCAGUCCCCUGUCUCUCCAGAGAACAAGAAGAACCACCGGGGGAUCAAGAAGCUCUGGGGAAAGAUAAGGAAGACACAGUCUGGCAGCCUGCAGGGAGAGGACCUUGAGCCUGGAGAGUUUAAGAGGGGGGGACUGAGAGCCACCGCCGGCCCUCGCCUGGCCCGGGCCGGAGAGACAUUGACCUCUGUGCGGGAUCUGAAGACGCCCUUCUCCAAGUGGACUCCGGAGCAGGUGUGUUGCUGGCUGGAAGAGUAUGGGCUGGGCCAGUAUGUGAUUCUGGCCCGACACUGGGCCGACAGCGGGCAAACUCUCCUCUCUGCCUCACCACAGGAUUUAGAGAAGGAGAUGGGGAUUAAGAAUCCACUGCACAGAAAGAAGCUGCAGUUGGCCCUGAAGUCGUUCAGCACCAAACUGACAGAGAAAUCCUCUGAACUGGACCACAUCUGGGUCACACGUUGGCUUGAUGACAUUGGUUUACCUCAGUACAAGGAUCAGUUUCACCAGGGAAGGGUAGACGGCAGAAUGCUUCAGUACUUGACAGUGAACAACCUCUUGUUCCUGAAAGUGACCAGUCAGCUCCAUCACCUCAGUGUGAAGUGUGCUAUCCACGUCCUCCACGUCAACAAGUUCAACCCCAACUGCCUGAAGAGAAGGCCUGGAGAUGAGAACAAGACGUCUCCCUCGGAGGUGGUUCAGUGGUCUAACCACAGGGUGAUGGAGUGGCUUCGCUCGGUGGACUUGGCGGAGUACGCUCCCAACCUGAGGGGCAGCGGGGUGCACGGGGGCCUUAUCAUUCUGGAGCCUCGUUUUAACUCAGACACCCUGGCCAUGCUGCUGAACAUCCCCCCUCAGAAGACCCUGCUGCGACGCCACCUGGCCACCAACUUCAACAUGCUGGUGGGCUCCCAGGCUCAGCAGGAGAAGAGGGAGUUCAUGGAGUCGUCUGGCUACACUCCCCUCAGCACCACAGCCAAAGUCAGGCCAAAGAAGUUGGGCUUCUCAAACUUCGGCCACCUGAGGAAGAAGAGAUGUGACGACUCGACUGACUACAUCUGCCCCCUGGAGGCGGCCCAGGCCCAGGCUCAGCUCCAGGCGGUGGUGAACGGGGCCCACCGGCCCUACUCCGGCUUUAGGGGCCUCAGCCCAAUCCUGGACAGAGACCCAGACAGACGAGAGCAGCCCUCAUCAAUGCUUCUGAUCAUCAUGAUUGGCCCAUUGUAUGCAAGAUGGAGGAGUGCAUGUUGGAACAGGACUAUCCCAUCAUGCACCUUGGGGGGAGGGGCUCAACCAUCCGCAGAUGGCGGUGACAGAGGGGACCGUACUGCAGAUAGAAGCUCUUUCUGAGGGAAUAAACCAACUCACAUAUUUGCUAAGCCGAGACGAAGUUCUGAAGGAGAUGAGACGGGCUCAAACAGCACUAGUCUGAGAGGACGCUACGCUGGCCACACUAAUUAACGCAGCCAAUCAACCAAGGGAAACCUCUAUCUGCCUCAUACCUCAACCUAACCUCAAUGCAGGAGGCUUUACCAGCAAUCUCAACUGGCUAUACCCCUUACCUCAUCAUAAUACAGGACUAUAAUGUAUACUACUUCUGUAUUAGUGACACGAACACAAUGACCGGUGAAGGAAUUCUGUUUUACAUGUGUCAUUGGUGUGUAGCGCUUCCCCAAACUAGAGUAAAUAGCAUGUGUUUUGUAUUUUUGGUGAAAGGUAUAGGCCUACAACAUGCCACUUGAGCUUUUAGGACAUGCUUUUUCCCCUAUGCAAAUUAGCCUGUAAGAUUGCACACACUGUAUUAUUUUGUACUAUUUGACAACUUUUUUGUAUGUUUUUUUUUUAGAUUAGGGUCGUUCCACUAAAUUAGUCCCUUUUGGGUAGUUUAAUUUGGUUUAAAAAAUAUACAUAAAAUAUAUAUAUAUAUAUAUAUAUAUAUUUAACCUAAUUUUAACUUUCUGUCAUGAAGAGCACAUGUUCAACUUAAUAAAAAAACAUGUUUCCCCAUCUCAAGAGGUUAAAUGAAAAACAAAAGAUAAUAGCAAGUGCCUAUUGAGUGGCAAGUAAAGUAACCAGGUUUAUUGUAACAGGGUUGACGAUUUCAUCUUAAGUCAGCCAUGAAUCCUCUUGUGAGAGGGUGAAUGGAGGCUUGUUUUGUGCAACAGGGAGGGUCAAAUGAAUGCAAGCUUAAAAAAAAGGAAAUUGUUAAAAAAAAUUCUAGCCUGUCUAUCAGUGGGUGACAGGGUUGACGUGUCAUGCUCAACCUACAAGAGUAGAAUCAGCUCUCCUGCUUUUACACUAUGAUUUGACUAUAAGAUGUUCAAUGUUUCUCCUUUUUAUGUUCCAAAAGGAAUAGUUUCACCAUAUUACAACGAGAGUUCAGUUCAUGUAACAGGGUUGACCUUAAAAUGAGGGACAUUUUUUAUUUUAUUUUUUUUACCUUAAAAUAAAUCACAAAUCUCAUGAAUUUCAAUAAUAAUAUUCAGAAAUGACUUUGACAAAGCAACAAAAUAACUAGGGCUUUCAAUGAAGGUGAAAACUUGGAUAAAUGUUGGGGUUAAGUGGGUUAAAAUCACAGGAGGUACAUGUCAAAAUACAGAAUUUUGGCACUUUAGCAAGUCUUUAGGCAUAUUUAAAACCAGAUGCAUUGAAUUAUCAAUGUGGUCUAUAUCAUUUAAUUUAAGAGUCUUUUAAAAUUCCAUAUUUAUGCACAAUUUCUUCUUCAAAUAUCAAAAGGAUGCAAAGGGGACUCAUUUCGUGGAACAACCCAUUACCUGGACACAUCCAUGAUGCAAACAAGGCACUAAGACAUACUGCAAACAAAACACACCAACACUUAAUACAGCUAAUUUGUAUAUGACCAAUAAGAAACAGUUUUUUCUAUGUUUCAACACAUAAUUUGCAUAUAAUUGAAUAGGCAGAUGUAGUCCUUUAAGUAAGUCCCUUUAACAGUCACCAGAAUGGAGGAUCGCUUCUGUAACAGAAUAAAUACUAAGGGAAGCCUGCUCCCUGGGAGUUAGGUAGCCCAGUGAAGUGUCCAUGCCCAGGUAUAACCUGUACAGUGUGAGGAUCCUAUUGCAGGUUAAUCUGCAUCAACCCAGCACAUCACAAUAUCUCACUAGGGUUUCAGAGAGGAGAGGGGGGCUGGAGCUGUUCCAAACAUCAAAGGCAGACCCAUACUGGUCAUAAGGGAAACCACCCUCUGACCUAAUCCUGUAGACAUGGGGAAGAUAGAGAGCAAACAACCAGCCCAAGGUAAUCUCAACCUGGUGGGAGAAACCACCAGCCUCGACCAUGACCAAUUCCCAACACUUCAAUUUCUCAACCCUGUGGGGGAGGAGAGAGAGCAAGCCACUAGCCCCAGACAUACCCAGUGAAUCCUUAACAAGCCCAACGAUUUUGUCCCUCUAUCCAAAUACUGUGUGGGGAUAGCUGCCGCCAGGACCCAGGAGUACCUCCUGUUUCCCUCGACCCAGAGGACAUGUUCCAGCCCCACAGCCCUCAACGAGAUCUUCCUAAUAACAUAUAUUACCCAGAGCAGCCACCUCCACAUGACCGACUCCUCCAACUGCACCACAAUGACAAAGCAGCAGCGCAUUUUUCUGGGUGCUGACUGGGCGUGGGCUGUGCUGGAGAGGCCCCCCAAGAACCCCUGCAUCUAGAUUGCCGUGCAGAUCCUGCACCUGACAGAGGGGGGAGGGACGGCAGAGGACUUCCCCCCCGGAGGUAUAUACUGAAUACAUGCAAGAUGGCCAAGACGGAGUCUGCUAAUAGGAACAAGGCAGAGAGGAUGGUGUAUUUUUGCACCUCCAUCGGUAAUGACUGCUACUCCCUCUUUCUCCUAUUUGGCCGCAAGGGCGACUCUGGCAACAUCUAUGGGGUGCUGAGCAACAAAUGUCACAAUGCUAUAGGAAGAAUAAGAACAACCGGGCACUCAUUGAGAAUUUCUUUAAAAGGGUCCAGGUUCUUACGCCCACAGGAACGCUUACAGGCUUUCGUCACCAAGAGAGACGGUGACCCUUUAACUCUGCUCAUCAAGUUUACCUGACCAGUAUGAUCGAUAACCGUGCAACCAUUUGUUACAUUUCUUUGUGUCUAUUGUAGUGUUUCAAAUGGGGGGGAAGGACUGUUGUGCUUGGUGGGUUUAUGCUUGCCUGGGACUCGGGGACCCAGUGUGCUGAAAUUGGCCUGUGUCCAUGUCUCGUGUAAACUACUGACCCAUGACUGCUGACAGCUGCUCACACCCUUGUGUAUAGUAUUUAUUUUAAUGGGCUUAACACUUCACUGGCAUCGCACCAGUGUGGAAAUUCGCUUAUCACUACCAAAUGACAUUAAAACCUUUCUACAGCAUACAAUACAGAAAAUAUGAUUGGCCAUAAAAUAUUUUUGUAUUUUCUAUGAUGGAUUUAAUGACUGAUCACAUUGCGGUAUCUUCGCCCAUAACAUGAUUCUAAGUCAAUGACUGUUCAUUUGAUUAAGGUGGAUUAUUUUUUGUUAAAACUAGUGAAACAAAAAUGGAGGAGAAAAAAAAAAGAGGAUGGAGUUGGAAAUAAAAUGUGUAUUUCUGGA